AAGCUGUAUCACUAUGAAUGAAGUGGUAUUCUCUAUAGAGUAUGUAUCUAUAUAGAAGUCAUAAGAUCUGACCAUCAGAACACUGGCUGGCUGGAGGAUUGUUUUGUUCUAAGUUUAUGACAUUCCUCAUAUUUGCAUAUGUUUAUCAUCACCAUAAAGCAGAGGAAGUUGAAAGAGGUGGCAGAGACAGACAGCAACAUGAGAUCCCAGGAAGCCAUUCUGUCACUACAAUUCUCUAACCCCCUCCAUGGAAGAAUCUGAGAAGGAACAUCUCAGUGCUUAGGACAGCCAAGUCAGAACAUCCUGACCUUGGCACAUAUGAUCCUGAGUACUUAGUUUCACCAUGAAUUUUAGUUGGGAAUUCACAAAUCUGUCAUACACAACAAGAUACAAGCUUUUGAAGUCAGGAUCUAGAACACCGUUUCUCCGACAAAGGCACAGUGUUCCAAGCCCUAGCAAAAAGCAGGAUUUGGAUAAGAAAUCAAUUAAACCAGAACUUUUCCUCCCUUGAUCAGUAGAAUGAUUGAGCAGCUCCAGGUUCCAAAUUCUCUCUGGCUGGAGGAAAUUGUUCUCACUUUGUGAAGUUUCCUGGGCUGUGUAUGUUUCUGGUUUUGAACAAUAAUCAGACACUGUUCUGCUCAUUAGGUUAAUAAGCUUUGUUCUCACCUUACCAAGUCUGUCCUUUCUCCUGUCCCUUUGUGGGGGGAUUGGGUUGGCUAGGGUCUUUGUUGAAA